GAUGAACGCUGGCGGCGUGCCUAAUACAUGCAAGUCGAGCGAAGCGGGGACGGGUGAGUAACACGUGGAUAACCUCCUCUAAGACUGGGGUCACUUCGGGAAACCGGAGCUAAACCGGAUCCUUAUCGCUGGCUCUUCUCUGCCUUAGCUCGUUGGUAAGGUAACGGCUUAACAAGGCACCGAUGCCUAGCCGACCUGAGAGGGUGAUCGGCCACACUGGAACUGAGACACGGUCCAGACUCCUACGGGAGGCAGAAGUAGGGAAGCUGCCGCAAGGGGCGAAAGCCUGACGGAGCAACGCCGCGUGAGUGAUGAAGGUCUUCGGAUCGUAAAACGCUGUUAGUAGGGAAGCGGUACCUAAUCAGAAAGCCACGGCUAACUACGUGCCAGCAGCCGCGGUAAUAC
rnacentral:rRNA from 1 species